rnacentral:lncRNA from 1 species
GGUUGUUCCCAGUGCCCGUCCCAGAGAAUGACCUGGUGGGCAUUGUGGGGGGCCACAAUGCCCCCCCGGGGAAGUGGCCGUGGCAGGUCAGCCUGAGGGUCUACAGCUACCACUGGGCCUCCUGGGCGCACAUCUGUGGGGGCUCCCUCAUCCACCCCCAGUGGGUGCUGACUGCUGCCCACUGCAUGACGUGUAUCUCUACGGGGGCCGGGGGCUGCUGAACGUCAGCCGGAUCAUCGUCCACCCCAACUAUGUCACUGCGGGGCUGGGUGCGGAUGUGGCCCUGCUCCAGCUGGUGAGCCCCAUGAUCUGAGCCGCUAAUGUCAGGACGGUCAAGCUCUCCCCGGUCUCGCUGGAGCUCACCCCGAAGGACCAGUGCUGGGUGACUGGCUGGGUCGCUGCCGCCGCCCUACCGCCUGCAGCAGGCGAGUGUGCAGGUGCUGGAGAACGCCGUCUGUGAGCAGCCCUACCGCAACGCCUCAGGGCACACUGGCGACCGGCAGCUCAUCCUGGAUGACAUGCUGUGUGCCGGCAGCGAGGGCCGAGACUCCUAGGGUGACUCCGGCGGCCCUCUGGUCUGCAGGCUGCGGGGGUC